AUGAGACUAAAGGUCAUCUUUGAGGAAAGUGUUUUGGGCAGUGAGGAAGAGGAGGAAGAACACCUUGAUUAUCUUCCAGAUCACAUGCAGCCAACAAGAAAAUACAGAGAGUCAAAGGCUUUGAUGGAAGAGACGGAGGAGGACAGUGUCAGCUCACAUGAAGAGGACCGCGAUGCCGAUGAAACACACGUUUGCGAUACAGUAGAAGGGGAUCCAAGCCAUUUUAUACUAAAUCAGGAUUCAUAUACCCUAAAAGACAAAAGCAGUUGUAUAAAGUCUGACAUUUUAACACAGAUGUAUGGACUCAAUGAAGAUGAAGACAGUGGGAAUGACCACAGCAGCUGUGAGCAACACGCAGAGACGGAGCAACCGAAGGAUGAAGGCAAACCACCCAACACCUCAAGCUACGAGGACAAAGAGUCCUGCUCAUCAGAGGAGGAAGGUGUCCACAUUGACGGAUAUACAGAAGACAGCUGUACAGAAUAUCAAGGAGCUCCUCCACACGCAAAGGACACCACGCGUGAAAAGGUUGUAGAAAUACCGCAGCAUCAAACGGAGGGAAUAAUAUCCCAAUCUGUCGCGGCGAGGGUGAUUCUUCUGGAAAAGCAAGUUGCCGUUGCCCAGAAGACAACAGAAAGUUCUGCCAUCCGACGUUCCUCCCAGAGAAAGGCUCCACUCGGGCGGGACGAAGAGGACUCGCCCUCCGAAUCGCCCGCGUCUCGGCCGGCUGCCGGCGCCCAAUCGCCGCCUCAAUCGUCACUAUCGUUCAGCUACGACUCCAGCGGCGUCGUAACGUCGGAGCCCGAGGGCCACCGGGUCAGGUCCAUUCGGGAAAUGUUCCUGGCAAAGGCUGCCACAGAUGUCCAACACAGAUGUCUCCCGAGCUCGAAAACAUCAGAGGCCAGAGCGGAGACGUCAGCCAGCGGCGGGUACCAGACUCAGACUUCGAGCGAGCCGUCCAGCAGCGAAGACGAUUCGGCGCGGAGAUCCAUCACGAAAGGCUUCGUGAGAAGAACAAUCGAAAGGCUUUACGGCAAGAAAGACGCCAGACCUGACCAGGAGGCGGGUGGGAGGCCGCCAUCCGCGCCAAAACAGCAAAAGAAGGAACACUUGAGCGCUUUCUCUCCCUUCCACGUAUCCCGGUCCAAAGCGAUGUCUGAGUUUUCUUACUUCAACUCCACUCAUGCAGUGGAGCCCUUGAGUGACGCGACACGCUGCGUCGCUUUUAACGCCGAGUUAAGGCCUGAAGACAAUGAACAAUGGUUCCUGAGGGAAAAGGCCCUGAUCAGAAAGUCCGCGUCAGAGCCGGUCGCAAUAAACAAAGGUUUCACAAACUCUCAAGGAGGGGAAAUGUGUGAGGACGCCGAGGAGGACCCCCCAUACUCCCUGUUCAGCACAAAGUCCGAACUGGAGGACAAUCAGUCGUCACUGUCAAGGAAGUGCACCUACUUCUCUUUGCCCCACACGAGCGACUCGGACGCACAUCUGGAGGAGUCGAGCGCCGUCAGCAGAACCGGCGGCAAUGGCCAAAGCGCCGCGGACGCGAAGGAGGACUCGCAGGACGCCGGGACGCGGGCCGAGAGGGGCGGCGCGCUGCCCGCCGUCGCCGACUUUAAGAGGAAGGACAACAAAGUGCACCCGGCGACGGACCCUCCGCCCGACGGCGAGGUGGUGCUCGUGCAGCCGGGGAAGCGGCAAGGCGUUAUGAGCAGAAGGGUCGAGGAGCCCGACGUGUUGGACAUACUUUACAAUUUCUGCGGUCAGAAUUGUCCCAUCCUGUAA
ensembl:lncRNA